ACGGAUAACAUACCGAAAGGUAUGCUAAUACGGGAUAAUAUAUUUGAGAGGCAUCUCUUAAAUAUCAAAGGUGAGCCAGUACAGGAUGGACCCGCGUCUGAUUAGCUAGUUGGUAAGGUAACGGCUUACCAAGGCGACGAUCAGUAGCCGACCUGAGAGGGUGAUCGGCCACAUUGGAACUGAGACACGGUCCAAACUCCUACGGGAGGCAGCAGUGGGGAAUAUUGCACAAUGGGCGAAAGCCUGAUGCAGCAACGCCGCGUGAGUGAUGAAGGCCUUCGGGUCGUAAAACUCUGUCCUCAAGGAAGAUAAUGACGGUACUUGAGGAGGAAGCCCCGGCUAACUACGUGCCAGCAGCCGCGGUAAUACGUAGGGGGCUAGCGUUAUCCGGAUUUACUGGGCGUAAAGGGUGCGUAGGCGGUCUUUCAAGUCAGGAGUGAAAGGCUACGGCUCAACCGUAGUAAGCUCUUGAAACUGGGAGACUUGAGUGCAGGAGAGGAGAGUGGAAUUCCUAGUGUAGCGGUGAAAUGCGUAGAUAUUAGGAGGAACACCAGUUGCGGAGGCGGCUCUCUGGACUGUAACUGACGCUGAGGCACGAAAGCGUGGGGAGCAAACAGGAUUAGAUACCCUGGUAGUCCACGCUGUAAACGAUGAGUACUAGGUGUCGGGGGUUACCCCCCUCGGUGCCGCAG
rnacentral:rRNA from 1 species